CCGGAGCGCAGCAUGACUCUGAGCAGCUCCGCGUCUCCCAGACGCUCCAGCCAAGCCGUGAACUCUGCUACCGCUCCAGGAAUCUGGACCACGUAUGAGAGUCUUCUGACUCCGUGGUCAGCCACCAGGUUCCAGAUGCUAGCAUGAUGCCGACCAGACUUCCCUGGACAGACAACCCCACCAAUCCGUCCUGGAGCUCCGCUUCCCCACUAGGGAAAGAGAAAGACAGGCUGGGAGUAUGGAUCGACCUGUGAACGCCUAUGUUCAGCCGGGAAGCAAUUACAGAAGCCAGACCUUCAACCUUCUGCAUCCCACAAUGACCCUGGGUCCAUACUCCCAGAGGGAUAAAGAAUAGGAAAGUUAGCAGGAGCGGGGAUGGGAUGCAGAGUUCUGGUGGUGGGAAUUGUGUGGAGUUGUACUCCUCUUAUCCUAUGGUUUUGUCAAUGUUUCCUAUAUAUA